GAACAAGCUGCCAGACUACUCCCGGUUUCUCAGUACCAUGGACAGGGCCAGCUGGAGAGUCAGGUGACAAUGAAAACCUAUGAAAAGAAGGCUUCUUUUCUACAGCUAUGUCCUCUAUAUUUACAAAGAUCCUGGUGCAUACUAUUGGAUGCUAAAUGUAAUGCAGUGCAUAAAUAGAUAAAUGCAAAAAUUUACAUUUGUUGUUAAAGAGCCAAACCAUGGAAAAUAUAACAUUCUGGAAUUUAAUGUAAAUUUCAUUCUUGCUGCAAAAUUUUGAAGUUGGAGAGCAUAUUCCAAUGAAUGUGAGCAUCAAAUACUCAGAAGACUGAUAUGACAUGUAUUGCAACAUUUGAAGUGUCAAAUUAUCUUUGGCUUCCCUGCAUAUACCAUCUUUAUAGCUAUUUUGGAGUGACAGAGAUCAACAGGAAAAAAAUUGAGGACAUUUAUAUUUCCCUUCUCUGCAUUUUGCAAAGCUA